AUUGAACGCUGGCGGCAGGCCUAACACAUGCAAGUCGAGCGCGCGGCGGACGGGUGAGUGAUGUCUGGGAAACUGCCUGAUGGAGGGGGAUAACUACUGGAAAAGGUAGCUAAAAUCCCACACCAUCUGAUGUGCGCCGAUGGGAUUAGCUAGUAGGUGGGGUAACGGCUCACCUAGGCGACGAUCCCUAGCUGGUCUGAGAGGAUGACCAGCCACACUGGAACGGAGACACGGUCCAGACUCCUACGGGAGGCAGCAGUGGGGAAUAUUGCGCAAUGGGCGCAAGCCUGAUGCAGCCAUGCCGCGUGUAUGAAGAAGGCCUUCGGGUUGUAAAGCACUUUCAGCGGGGAGGCGUUACCCGCAGAAGAAGCACCGGCUAACUCCGUGCCAGCAGCCGCGGUAAUUC
rnacentral:rRNA from 1 species